CAGAGUAGUAGUUUAAAUAAAAUAUUGGCGUUGGAAGCUAAAGAUUAGGUGAUAUGCCUAUUGUCUGA
rnacentral:tRNA from 1 species